rnacentral:lncRNA from 1 species
AAGCAUCAGAGUCUGAACUACCAUCUCCUGUCUUCUGCGUUUUUUCCCAUUACACCACAGCUCUGGAAAUUCCUAUCUACAAUUAAAAUAAGGGAGUUUAGGGAAGACUUGAAUUUUCAUGAGCCGUUCAUAAAAAACAACAACAAAAAAAAACAAAACAAAACAAAACCCAAAAAAACCAACCCAGGGUACCAUUCUUUUUUCUGUAUUGACAUGAUUGUGUGUGGCCAGUACAUGGCUCAGAGACAGAUGUCUAAAUUUGUUUAUUUUGGAUGCGUCAAGGACUCUGCUUUAGUAACUAAUGAGGGUUUCUUUGCCUUUGCUCAAAGGAUGAAUGCAGCCAUCAUGGUGUAUAGGAUUUUGCAGAGUUUUGUGAAGUCUGAUGGAGUAGACUUUAUCCAUAACAAUGCCAAACGUGAUAAAUAGGUAAUCUGAAGCCUUCAGAAGAAAUCAAACAAUCAGAUUCUUAGAUUCUAAGCCCUUUUGAGUCCUGAGUGAACCAAGACUGUCAUCUUCCCAGGGUACCUCCUGACCAAGAAAAACAAAUACUUCAAAGACCAGAUGGUAAGUGUCUAGUGCUCACAUCUAAUCCAAACUCUGGAACCGCAUCCUCACAUUUCAUUCCACCUUGAACCUUGGCUGAGCUCCAGCAAGACUUGGGUUUUAAUGAAUCAUUCUUGAUUAGUCACAGCGCAAUACUCAAAUAGUCUCUUCUGGCUUAGAAAUCGUAGCUUGCAGAUCCUCGAUUAUUAUUUAAUUCCUUAAUGUUCUUCCUUGUUUUCUCUAAAUGCCACAUCAUUUUAUCACAAUGCAAAUUAUUUUGGAACUCAAGGGACACAAUUAUCUGGCUGCUAAAGCAACUUUUGAAAAAUGAACCACUCUUAGCAUAAAAUCUGUUAAUCCGAAUUCUGCUAAUCCACCACAAUGAAUAAAAUCCUAUAAAGUCACA